rnacentral:rRNA from 1 species
AUUAACAAAAAGAAUUAAAAUUAAUCUCACGAAAUGAUUUGAGCUAACUGCUUGGGGAUGUUAGCCCAUUAAUAGUACGUCGCAAAGUACUACCUUUACAAGCAGUUAGGGGUGAUAGGCCAAGCAAAAAUUAUGAUAUCUUGAUUUUGGGGAAAUUCAUUUAGUGAUUAAGCGAACUUAGAGUGACAAGGCUUUAAGUCAGAAUUAAAUCUUGAAAGUAUUAUACCUAUAGCUUUGACCAGUAGUAUAUAAUAUUAAGUACCAUUAAAAUAUUCAGGUUAUUUGUAGUACCUAUGUAUAAAAUUGUUAGUGAUUUAUAAUGUUAAUAUAAGUAAAUAAAUAGAUUAUUAGAAUGAACUCGGCAAAUCUACCCUUCGACUGUUUACCAAAAACAUAACUGCAUGAAUAUCCAUGCAGCAUUUUCUGCCCAAUGAAUAUUAAAUGGCCGCAGUACUCUGACUGUGCAAAGGUAGCAUAAUCAGUUGGCUUAUAAUUGAAGUCUAGGAUCAACGAAUGCACGGAGGGUUACUGUGUCUUAAUAAAAUACUGAAAUUAUUUAGUAAGUGAAAAUGCUUACUUGUAAAUAAAAGACGAGAAGACCCUAGAAAUUUUAAUUGUAUUUUGUUGGGGCGACAUAGUAGCAUUGAACCUACAGUAAGUACAGGAAUUUUAUUAGAUGUAAGAUUAAUUACUCUAGGGAUAACAGCAUAAUUUAGAAAAGUUUGUGACCUCGAUGUUGGACUAGGAAAUUUAAGUUUAGACGACAUAAAUAUUGCUCUGU